ensembl:lncRNA
UGUUUAAAAUAUUGUGGAGCACUCAGUGACGUGAAUCACAACUACUACACACAUUUUACUUAAUGUUUGGAAUGUCCUGAACAUAUUGAGAGAUGUGUGUAAAGAAGGGAGAGAGAGAUGUGGAGAGGGGUGUGGAGUUGAUCACAGACUGCAGGGGGCAAAAAAUGAAAUUCAGUUAGAUGGGAAACUGUAUGGCGGAGGGGACCCUAAUGUACUUAACGUUGCACCUUUCAAGAACACUGAACAUAAAAAGUUUAAAGGGAAAAAAAACAGUUACUCAAUUGCAAUAGGACUAGCACUGGCAAUUUAUUCUCUCUCAAAGGGUAAAAUAAAAUAAAGUUUUACAUCCAAUUUUUGGACUGAGGUUGCUAAAGCUAUUAAUUGGCCCUAUGAAAGACCAAAAGGUCAAAGUCGUAGUGAGAAGAUACUUUGUACAAUUUGGAGAUGUAAUAGGGGU